rnacentral:rRNA from 1 species
AGAGGGUGCAAGCGUUGUUCGGAAUUAUUGGGCGUAAAGCGCGUGUAGGCGGCCUAGCAAGUUGGGUGUGAAAGCCCUCGGCUUAACCGAGGAAGUGCGCCCAAAACUACUAGGCUUGAGUACCGGAGAGGGUGGUGGAAUUCUCGGUGUAGAGGUGAAAUUCGUAGAUAUCGGGAGGAACACCAGUGGCGAAGGCGACCACCUGGACGGAUACUGACGCUGAGACGCGAAAGCGUGGGGAGCAAACAGGAUUAGAUACCCUGGUAGUCCACGCCGUAAACGAUGAGCGCUAGGUGUUGCGGGUGUUGACCCCUGCAGUGCCGUAGCUAACGCAUUAAGCGCUCCGCCUGGGAAGUACGGCCGCAAGGCUA